AUGAUGAAGAGUUUGAUCCUGGCUCAGGACGAACGCUUGCGGCGUGCCUAAGAAAUGCAAGUCGAGCGAGGAUUAGGAGCUUGCUCCGAAGUCCUAGCGGCGAACGGUCGCGUAA
rnacentral:rRNA from 1 species